rnacentral:rRNA from 2 species
GGUUAAGCAAAAAAGAGCACAGGGCGGAUGCCUUGGCACCAGAAGCCGAAGAAGGACGUGAUAAGCUGCGAAAAGCUGCGGUAAGGAGCACAUAUCCGAUGACCCGCAGAUAUCCGAAUGGGGGAACCCACUUGCGAAGAGCGCAAGUACCAUUAAGUGAAUACAUAGCUUAAUGGGGGGAACGAGGUGAACUGAAACAUCUAAGUAGCCUCAGGAAGAGAAAGAAAAAUCGAUUUCCCAAGUAGCGGCGAGCGAACAGGAAAGAGCCCAAACCGUUUGUGUAAGCGAGCGGGGUUAGGACUGCGACGUGUACUUAUGGAGAUAGACGAAUGAUCUGGGAAGAUCAGCGAUAAAGGGUGAAAGCCCCGUAGUCGAAAUCGAAGUAAGGCUAGCAGGAUCCAGAGUAGCACGAGGCACGUGGAAUCUCGUGUGAACGAGCGGAGACCACUCCGUAAGGCUAAAUACUAACUGGUGACCGAUAGAGAAUAGUACUGUGAAGGAAAGGUGAAAAGUACCCCGGGAGGGGAGUGAAAGAGAACCUGAAACCCUGUGUUUACAAACUGUCGAAGCACGUUAAAGUGCGACGGCGUACUUUUUGUAGAACGGUCCGGCGAGUUAUCUUAUAUGGUAGGUUAAGAACUAAGAGGUUCGGAGCCGAAGUGAAAGCGAGCGUUAAAAGCGCGAAGAUCGUAUGAGAUAGACCCGAAACCGGGUGAUCUAUCCACGUCCAGGAUGAAGUUGCCGUAAGAGGCAAUGGAGGUCCGAACACACAUCUGUUGAAAAAGGUGGUGAUGAGGUGCGGAUAGGGGAGAAAUUCCAAUCGAACCCGGAGAUAGCUGGUUCUCCUCGAAAUAGCUUUAGGGCUAGCCUUAUAAUAGUCUAAUGCAGGUAGAGCACUGAAUUUCCUAGGGGGCGUCAAAGCCUACCGAAGAAUAUCAAACUCCGAAUGGCAUAAAGAUGGUUUAUGGGAGUCAGACUGCCCGAGAUAAGUCGAGUGGUCGAAAGGGAAAGAGCCCAGAUCUACAGCUAAGGUCCCCAAGUACAUGUUAAGUGGGAAAGGAUGUGGAACUUCAUAGACAGCUAGGAUGUUGGCUCAGAAGCAGCCAUUCAUUGAAAGAGUGCGUAAUAGCUCACUAGUCGAGAGGUUCUGCGCCGAAAAUACACGGGGCUAAAACAUGACACCGAAGCUUAGGAAUGUAUUAAAUACAUUGGUAGAGGAGCAUUGCUGAAGUGAAGAAGCAGUACCGAUAAGGAGCUGUGGAGUUUCAGGAAGAGAGAAUGCCGGAAUGAGUAGCGAGAUGAAAGUGAGAAUCUUUCAGGCCGAAUAUCCAAGGUUUCCAGGGUAAAGCUUGUCUUCCCUGGGUUAGUCGGGGCCUAAGGCGAGGUCGAAAGACGUAGUCGAUGGACAGCAGGUUGAGAUUCCUGCACUGAUAUAUAUCAGAACUGAGGGGACGCGGAUCAAAGAGGAGAAGCCACGUGUUGGAACGUGGUUGCAUGUAGAGGGCCGGUAUGGAGAAAACCUCUUUACGGAAAGCCAGGGAUACAUGCGGGACCGAACACACCAAAGUAGGGAAGGAUCCGAAUGAUCUGCCGAGAAAAGCCUCUAUGGCGUAUAUAUCACCCGUACCGCAAACCGACACAGGUGGAUGAGGAGAGAAUCCUAAGGCCGACGGGAGAAGCAUUGUUAAGGAACUCGGCAAAAAGGCCCCGUAACUUCGGGAGAAGGGGUGCUGGUGUAAAAGCCAGCCGCAGCGAAGAGUCCCAAGCAACUGUUUAGCAAAAACACAGGUCUAUGCGAAACCGAGAGGUGAAGUAUAUGGGCUGACGCCUGCCCGGUGCUGGAAGGUUAAGAGGAGGGGUUAGCGCAAGCGAAGCUCUGAAUUGAAGCCCCAGUAAACGGCGGCCGUAACUAUAACGGUCCUAAGGUAGCGAAAUUCCUUGUCGGGUAAGUUCCGACCCGCACGAAAG